CUCACUUUGUUGUUUCUCAUCAGGAGGGUUUGGAAAAUUGCCAGAUUUAGUGAGAAAGUCGCUAAGUUGGCAACAUUGAAUGUAAACACAUCCAACGCGAACUCACCCGUGAACAGCCCUGUACUGAACAGUUCUAUACAAAUACAUGUACCAUUACACCCUUAG